rnacentral:rRNA from 1 species
AUUGAACGCUGGCGGCAUGCUUUACACAUGCAAGUCGAACGGCAGCGCGGGCUUCGGCCUGGCGGCGAGUGGCGAACGGGUGAGUAAUGCAUCGGAACGUGCCCAGUAGUGGGGGAUAGCCCGGCGAAAGCCGGAUUAAUACCGCAUACGACCUGAGGGUGAAAGCGGGGGACCGAAAGGCCUCGCGCUAUUGGAGCGGCCGAUGUCGGAUUAGCUAGGUGGUGGGGUAAAGGCUUACCAAGGCGACGAUCCGUAGCUGGUCUGAGAGGACGACCAGCCACACUGGGACUGAGACACGGCCCAGACUCCUACGGGAGGCAGCAGUGGGGAAUUUUGGACAAUGGGGGCAACCCUGAUCCAGCCAUGCCGCGUGCGGGAAGAAGGCCUUCGGGUUGUAAACCGCUUUUGUUCGGGAAGAAAUCCUCUGGGCUAAUACCCCGGGGGGAUGACGGUACCGGAAGAAUAAGCACCGGCUAACUACGU